rnacentral:rRNA from 1 species
UACGUAGGGCGCAAGCGUUGUCCGGAAUUAUUGGGCGUAAAGAGCUCGUAGGCGGCUUGUCGCGUCGGUUGUGAAAGCCCGGGGCUCAACCCCGGGUCUGCAGUCGAUACGGGCAGGCUAGAGUGUGGUAGGGGAGAUCGGAAUUCCUGGUGUAGCGGUGAAAUGCGUAGAUAUCUGGAGGAACACCGGUGGCGAAGGCGGCAUCCUGGACCAUUACUGACACUGAAAAGCGAAAGCCAGGGGAGCAAACGGG